rnacentral:rRNA from 1 species
AGGACGAACGCUGGCGGCGCGCUUAACACAUGCAAGUCGAACGGGUGACCUUCGGGUCAUCAGUGGCGGACGGGUGCGUAACACGUAAGCGACCUGCCUUCAGGUGGGGGAUAACCCCGGGAAACCGGGGCUAAUACCGCAUGUGCUCUUGGGGCUGCAUGGUCUUAAGAGGAAAGCUCCUGCAAGGGAGCGCUUGAAGAGGGGCUUGCGGCGUAUCAGCUAGUUGGUGAGGUAACGGCUCACCAAGGCGACGACGCGUAGGGGGUCUGAGAGGACGGCCCCCCACAUUGGGACUGAGAUACGGCCCAGACUCCUACGGGAGGCAGCAGUGGGGAAUAUGGGCAAUGGCCGAAAGGCUGACCCAGCGACGCCGCGUGUGGGAGGAAGCCCGUUCGGGUGUAAACCACGUGGUCGGGGGGGACGAAAGGCGCGGGACGAAAAAUCGUCGCCAGCAGUGACGGUACCCUAGAGAAGCACCGGCUAACGUCUGUGCCAGCAGCCGC